CCUCUGACAUGCCGCAUCCUUCUCCCCGUGGCCCUCGGGUCAGCACCACACUGAGGGAAAGGAAAGCAAGCUCGGGGAGAGGUGAGGAAAUGGGAUCAGUGCAGGACAGGGGUAUAAAUUAAAAAAGGAUGGGGUAUCCCUAACCCAGAGAAAGCAGGGAUAAAGCAGGGAAAUGUGACCAGCAGACCCAAUAGAGGAGAGCAGAGCUCUGGCGUCUGCAUCUCCAUGUCACAAACAGGGUACAGGACAGGCAAAUAAUCUGGCAUAUGCAGGUGAAGUGUGGUUGAACCUUCAUCGAUCCUCCUGCAGUCUCCUUCCAGACCUGCCUUUGUUGUUCCUGUCACUCCUGUUCUGUAAAAUUCUGAGGAGGCCUGUUGAUGUCUGAAGGAGAGAGGCAGAUCAAGGAUAUUUGGGUAUGGAAGAAAACAACCUCAAGAGAGCCAAAGCAAGCUUUUCUCAAGCAGCGCAGCAGCUGUGCCCCAAACCCUGGUCAUUGGAAGUCCUAUUCAGGAGCAGCUUCCCUCUUUGUGGGACCAUGAAUUCUUCUCUGUGGUUUUUCAGGCUGUCAAAAGGGUUGAGAAUUUUCAUCGCAGGAUCCAGUCACAGUAUUGUCAAUUACAAGUUUACACACCCGAGGCAAUAUGCUACAAUAUGCUAACUACAAUAUGCUAACUACAAAGGGGAAGCGUCCCAGAUGCCUCCUGGACUUGCAGCCUCCUGCACCCCAUAUGCAGGUGUCUGGACGUGCCGAGAAAAGCCUGUGGACAAAUGCAGACUGGAGG